AAAUAUCAAGUGGUCACCCUACAAUUAAAAUUAUUACCACUCGUUUUUGCGAGACCUGCAAUUUGCAGCAACAAUAAUUACCUAUGCUGAAACUUAUAAAUCUAAUGAAGAUCUGCACUAAAGAAGAACUAACCGUGUGUAUAGUAGUGGUGGCAUACGUAUUUACGAUUGUAUGCUAUAAGCCUCCACAACCACCAGCGAGAAAGCACGUGUUUGACGAUUCGCUAUCACAUUCUCUUCGGCCUACCCGCACCCGGCAAUCGCUCGAGCAACAUGCUCAACCGUAGCUACUUGGCUGGGUGCUCACCAGUUUAGCUACGCACCAGUAGGCCGUUUAACUGACGGUUCUACAAUUCAAAAACCAAGUGAUGUGCUCGGGUUAUGAAAUCUUUUGAUUUCACUCCGCUCUCCGCUUGUCACCUUGCCAAAGGAAGGCAGGCGGUUGAAUAUCUGAUGGUUUUUUGGUGUGUCUUCAAAUCAUAAUAAACAAAAACAAACAAAUUUAGAGGCUAGCGGUUACAACGUGGUGUAAACUAGUGUCCAGACCGGGGCUUCCUCACCUAAGGUUCAAUCUCUGGUUGGCAAUAGGAAACUUUCGCGACUUUCAUGUAAACAAAGAAUCAUCCUACAAGCCAAACGAUACUUGAAACAAUUGGGUUAAAUUGAAAAAAUAAAUCUAAUAUUGCGGAGGUUUAGAGGAAAAACAAUCAAAAUAGCAGGCAAAAUAGUAAACUGAAAUGUUUUACAUUCUAGCGAAACAACUGACAAAUUAUAAGAAACGAACCGCCUUUAUGGCGGCUGAGAAGCGGACGCAUGGUUGGUUGUUUCUUUUAAAAAAAACAACUACCAACGGAUGUUUUGUCUCCAUGAGUUUCCCAGAUCAUUGGAGUGGAAUAAUCGUUUGCUGCUUUACCACUCCACAAAGCUGUUUUAAUUUUGAAGAGCUCUCGUUAGGAGUUGUUGCAGUUUAUUCUUUUCAACAGCCAUCCAGCGUUAAAUGAAGAUGAGUAUACUUGCCGCUUUGCGUCGAUUGAUCAACAAAAAUAUAUACAAUGUGUAAAUACAAUGUAUCUCUUCUGGAGGAACAACCUUGUGCAAAUCCCAUUAUUCCAUAAUAAUUUUCCAACUAUGCAGUUCACCAGACCCGUCAGUCCUUCCGCCAUCAAGGAGGGAAAAAAAUAUAGCAAACAGCAUGCUUCAAUCGCACUCCAACUAACAACGGCACAACUGCCGAUACGAGGCACUAGGAUAGAUGCGAAUCCCAUCACCCUAGAACAUGGGAUCUCAAUUUCCAGCUUUUAUUAUUCGAUGCGUCGUCGCAAACCUUGAUGAUGACUUUCCAUCUUUCGCCGGGCGCAUUGUGUGGGAAGAAUAAAGCUGCUCAAUGUUAUUUCCACUUUCCAUUAUGCGGCUCAAAUCCGAGAUGCUUUCGAGAAUAGUGCAGUCAAGUGGCGCGAGGACUUUGUGCGCUCUUGCACAGAUGCAUUUGUAUGGCUGCGGAAUUCUUCUGCUAAGUGGCAUCGCAGAACAAGACCGUUUAUGUUGUUAUGACCGACCGGUUUCUUGGCUCAUAAACGUUACUAAAAUGAGGUUAUUUUCCACCCCAUAAUCUCAUUUGGAAAAUAAUGAAGCGGAGUGGAAGACGAGUUGGUACAGUUUCUUAUUCGUAAUUACUUAACAUGUUUUUGAGUGUUACGCGUAUCCGAGUUUCCAAUUAUCUGCAGUUCCUAGUAGAUACUCGACUCCAUAAGAGACCUUCUAAUCCGACGUUAUUAAACUUUUCUUACCUUUCUCAUAAUAUUCAGAAUAAAUUAUAUGCUUUGGUUUGAAUUGGAUAAUAAGGCAGAAUACAGAUAAAAUCGAACAGGUUAAGAAUAGUAUGUUAUCCAAAUCGAAUGGAACUGUAAUCACAAUGUAAAUUAUAGCACUGCAAUUAUGACUGUGCAUUCACCUCAUCACGACCAGCAAAAAUAUCACUUUCAAACCGACUUGUCCUUUCAAUCUAAUAACACCCACAAAAUUUAUGAUAAAAAUUAUUUUGGGUAUAAUCUGAGUUCAUGUCUGUAAUGAAUAAAGGCAACAAUUUUCUUUUGGAAGCAAUAAUUGACCGAAAUCCAUCAGUCAGUGUUUGAUAAACACUAAAAUCAAACAAUCGAACAUGAACGAACUACAUUGAAAAUAAUUGGUCGGCGUACAGCUACAUUUUCCGCACCACCAUCCUAAUAACGAUAAUAAUGAUAAUGUUAAAGUAUCACGAAUGAAAACAAACUGAACAUAGGGUAACAAGUCAAUUCAAUCACCAAAGAUAAAAUACAAAAUAAAUAUAAUCGGAUGUCAUAUCAAUACGAUGGCUAACGCCUGAUGUGAAUUGUCACCCCUCUGCGACAAUCACUUUACCAAAUAAAUACGAUAUCAGUUGUCUACUUUACUGUCAUGAUGAUUCCUAACUCUAUCCAGUUUUGUUAUGGAGCUCUUCAACCCAUUGGACCAAGAUGAAACAUAUGACAACACUGUGGAACAACAGAAAUGGACACCAUAUAAUCGCUCAUGUGAAAUCAUCACGGAUCGUUGUUGGUUCAGAGUGGUGAUUGGUGCUAAAACCAUUCGAGCGGAUGGAAAAAUAAGCAAAAAAAAAUGCUUUCAAUUGGCAUCAUACUACCUAGCAAUUUGCAGGAAUUGCGUGUGAGCGGAAAAAUCACUUGCUCGAAGCGAUACAAUACACCAUACUGGAUAAUUUCGAAUGUACAUAUCAAUUGAUGUUUACUUAUUGACAGAAAUGGAAUUAACAAGAGGGGGGAAAUCCACCAAAGCCAUUUCAGUCGUGCAAAGAAUAGAGAGAACCCAAUUAACAGCGUAGUUAAUUCUAAUUUUCAUGAUAAGUACGAAGGUGGCGUAAAUCAAAGUGAAGGGAAAAGGAUCAAUCAACAAAGAGAUGUUAAAAUUGUGGAGCUGAACUUAGAGUUAGAGAAUUAAUUAUCAAAGCAAAAAUCACACAACCGUAUCAAAGAGUUUCAAUCACCGAAGGUCGAAUCAAUACUGUGAAGACGUGCACUUUAUGGAAUAUGAACUAUGAUAAUUUCUAAAAAUUUGCAAAUUUAUAGUCUGAGAGCUUAGCACAGCUUCUAGCCAUCGACGAAUGAGCGGCUAAAAUUGCACACAUUUGACAAUCACCACUUUGGGCUCUCGAAACUUUUCGUCAAAUACCAGAAAACCCCAUAAAAUCGUUCGGCUGUACCAUACACCUUUGAUAAGUAGUAUUUUUCGGCGUUUGCUCAAAAAAACAUAAAAACGAGUAUUAUUAGUUGUGGGAUAGAACCCUCCAGAGCGUGUCAACCCUAUAGUAAAAUUAACUGAUAGAUCAAACCAUGGCGUUUUCCAUUGAAGACUAGCGUGUAACAUUGCCCAAAGAUUAAAAAUGAUAGCUAGUAGAUAUUUUAUAAAUGACUGGUUUUAUACUUUUUUAAAUAACCCUCUUGUAAAAACGUAAAUAAUGAGGCAGGUCGUUCAUUUAUAUAAAAAGUGAAGAUAUAAAUGUUGAACAUCAUUGAAAGAGGAUCAUACAAAGGAUUUAGAACAAUAGGUACAUCAUCAUUAGAACCAUCGAUUCAUAAAAGCAAAUUCAAUGUCCCAUAAAAAAAGAAUCAAACAAAUCAAACACUUUUCCCAAAGUAAGCAUAUUAUAGGGACAACGUUGCACAUCACAAUCAAAUGACACUAUUCGUCGUUAUUUACGUGUAAGGUUCAACUUUCAAAUCAAAACUCAAUGAUAAUUGUAACAAAAUAACCCCCGAGCGACCCUCUCACUGCAUACAGCGUGACCCCACCCCAUGCUCUAUGAUGACUGCACAAUUUUGUACUGUUUGGUCCCAUAUCGUAUGUUAACAUUAGAUAGGAAUCGAAACCAGCUGACAAUCCAACAACAGUUUACAUACCUACGUAUAUCACAAGAGAAAAGAAAAACAUUACCGUAAUAUCCGACUGUUUCCCCGUGAACGUAUGUGACUGUGAGUGCAUGUAAUGUAUGUCCCCACUCUGUAUUUACUUAACUUUUUUUUCACCCGGUUCCCUAAUUGACCAUCAUCUGGAAAUCGACUGCAAAUCUUAAUCGAGUCCGAUAGGCAAAUAAAGAUGAUAAACAGUGCACACGAUAUCGUGCGUAUCAUUCUAUACUAUUAUUGUGCACCUAGCCUCUGUAACUACGGCAUAGCAAAUCAUAUAUUAGACAGAUGAGAGUAUUUAUUUGAAAACUGUGAUAACGACUUCGGUUCAUUGCUUCGCGCCACGCUUUGCCAAUGUCAGAUAAUUAUAUAUUCGCUACAUGUUGUAUUAUGUUUGAAUGGAUUGUAUUAGAUAAUAGCAAGAGAGAGAACAGUACCUUAAUAUCUAUCACUAAGCCACAAAAUGAUUCACCAUUGCACAGUGUGUUGUUGCUGGUAGAAAUUUUUUUCAGCAAGUUGCAAAUGUUAGCAUGUUUUGUGCGUAAUUAUGCACAUGAUGUGCGAAUCAUCAUAUGGCUGUGUUUAUCAAAAUCAAGUCCCAUCUCAAGGAGCCACUGAAUCCUGAAGUCACGAGCCAGCCUAAUUGCUUGGUUCUAACUUGAACGAAAUGGAUUGAUAUUCAUACAUUCCUGAAGAUUAUCCAAGUUUGUUUCGAAAAAAUCAUCAUCUUAUUCGGUAUCAAAAUUCUUUAAAUAAGGAAUAUAGAAGCAAUCAAAAUGUCUGGAAAAUAUCGAUUUUUAAAAAAUGUUUCCACUGAACUUCGCCGUAAAUAUUAACUGUAAAAUCCAAAUAAAAUUGAUCUAUAAUUUUUCACGCCGAUUUAAAUUUGAGAAGUCCGCCGGAUUUUUCGUCGAAAUUUCGAAGAUUCAUUGGAAUUUGCAUAGAAUUUCCCGACGCUUCCCCACAACGUUACGUUGAAACUCUUGAGAAUUUUUCGUAAAAUUACCAAUGAUUUUCUUGAAUAUUCCAUACAAUUUCCAGUUGAAAUUUCGAAAAGUUCCCAACAAAAAUUGAGAAAAGCUUCGAGUGAAAAUUUCGAAGGAUUUCCCGUUGAAAUCCUAAGAAUUUGUCAUUGACAUAGAAUUUUUGAACGGAAAAGGACAAGAGGAAACCAAUUUAAAUUUUGCGAUAGUUUUACUUAAUGUCUUAGUGGUUUUCUCAAACCAACCUAGCGGUUGUUAGCUCGGUUGUUAUGGAGUGUGUAAUGGGACAUUUUGGACCAAAUACAUUUUUCAUACAUUCUGAAUUCUUGUCCAAAAUUUAUACAA